rnacentral:piRNA from 1 species
CUAGGGAGUGUUUACCAUUUGUGAGGC